GAGUGGACUAGAACACCUCUUGAGGUCCCUUCCAGUCCUAUGAUUCUAUGAUAUAAGCAUAUUUUAAAAUGUUAAACAGGGAGGGGGAUGCAUUGCAACGUAUAAAUGUUAUAUGGGUCAGCAGGUGGUCCUAGAUUGAGCUGCAGAGCAGAAUUUUAAUCCAGAAAUAUUACUGGACUACAGGGGAUGAUGGUAUGUUCUAGAAAUAAAGGUGGUAAUAUGGUGUAGUGGGUUUUGGUUUUUGAAGUGUGAUGUUCUUGCAAAAUUUGAAGCUUUAAGUAUUCAAUAUCCUGCAGAUAGUUCUGUUGCCUGAGUGUUGUCUUGUUUCUUGGAGAUGUGGGCUUUUCAGAGCAGUGUUAUGAUGAAGUCAUAUUAAUAACUCCCUUGUAAGACUACUUCCAUUAUAAGCUUUACAAAAUUGACCUUUUUACCUAUUAGGCUUCAGUAAGAACUGAAAACAAGGGUGUAGGUCUUUUUUACAAAGAUGGAGUUUAAUCUUUGUGCUAACUUCCAUGAGGUCUGGUGCUCAUUUACAUACACUGAUGGGAGAAGCUCUUCCAUUGUUGUAGGUAGUGUCUUCACGAAGUGCUACAGCGGUGUAAGUGUAGACGUACCCUAAAAAAGGUUUGAAAUGUGGAGGGCUUUCCAAGCUUAUAAGCACCAGAAGUUGUGUUGGAGAGAGAGGCUUAAUACUUCCCUGUGGCCUGUGAUAUGGAUCUGCUUUUGGCGGAUACAAGUUUACAGGCCCAAGGGCUUCAGAGAAAUUAAACUCCCUGCCAUCAAAAUUUUUAACUAAAGUUGUGAGCAAAGUCAUUUCAGCUGUAUUUGACUUAAAUGAGCAUGGCGGUGGGGGGGAGAAUGUUUUUUGCAUUUUAAAAAGAAAACUAGGGAAAACAAGAACCUAAGUUUGAGAAUAUUGUCCUUUUAAAAUCGUAACAGAAUAUUAGUUACAAAAAAAAAAAUUAAAAACCUUCAUCUAUUAACUGCACAUUUCCUGCAUUUGUAACCUGAUAUUCCCUGCCACCUGGAAAUUAAAUACCUUCACCUAAUCCAUAUGUAUUUCUGUAAGUCACAAUUUACUACUUCAGUAUUCAUAUUCUAUAUACUAAUAGGUUAAUCACUCCCAACAUACAAGCUAGAAGUUCUGCUCUCCUUUAUUCUGCGAUCCUACUUCUAGACCAUGCAUGAGGGGUAGAGACAAUCAGCAUCUCAGACUGAGAUAGAGAACUCUAAGCUUGGUGUUAUUAGAAAAAUUGCAUUGCUCUAACUAGAUGUAAUUACAUUGAUUUAAACUCCUAAUAUAGAUGCAUUUACACCUGCUUAAGCCUUCCUUAGAUAUAUUGAUUUUUAAAUUAACUCUUUUUUUAGUACAAACAAGACCUCUGUCUUGAUGAUAUUGUAAUAUUGGCCAGAAACCAAAGUGUAUGAGCUUCUCUGAUGGUCUAGAGAAGUCUUUUAACCAGUCCAUUCUAGUCAUGCUGUCUAUAGACCCCAGAAUACGGCAUACAGUCAGGUAGGGACUUUACUUCAGCUCUCUUCUCCAUGGAGGGAAGAGGAUUUACAGUAGGAGGCCCAGCAUAAGUCUCUUUGUACCUCAGGCAACAAUCAUCUGCCAGAUUCCACUUGCCCUCCUUCCCUCAGGUCAGUUAACAUGUCAUAAAAUGUAAUCUGAGGGCAUUAAAAUAUAUCCAGUGCAUCUCCUGUUCCCUUGCCCACUCAGCCUGGGUCAUGAAUGUUGCACCAGCAGCUGACUAUCAGCAAUCAGCUGUGCAGUGUCUGAUGACAAUUAUGGGCUCAGGACAGAAGAUACAAGUAUCUUACCCUUUAUCUGCCAUGACACUGUCGCCACUAGCCCUUUGUACCUGAUACUGGGCUCAAGAGUUAUAUUAGACAACUAAAAUAUACUUCUGAAGUUCAUGUGCUUAGUUUUAUGUGGUACUUGGUCAGUGUCUCUAACUUGAAGUUCAGUGAGGAUACAGGCAGAGUUAAAAUUGGUAUUGAAACUUUAGCUGAACAUUUCCUGUUCAAAGUGUUUAGAUUUUCUGAAACUAUAUAAUCCUUGAAUGUUGUAAAAGGACAUCAGACAACUCAACCAUAUUUCUAAAUUCACUCUUUUGGUCUCAGAAUAACAUCCGUACUAUAACAGAUUUUAGUUUGCUGUUUCUUCCAAUAAUUAGACGCACUUUAAAGUCUAUGGAGGUACUGAAAUAUUUUAGGGAUAAGUGUUAAUAUAAAGAGGGAGAGUUAAGGGAUAUGUUCUUCUCAGAACUCUUAAAUGAAACAGCUAUUUACCAAAAUCUGCUCCUAAAGGCAAGUAGCUUCCUGUGCCAAGAUGAUACAGAAGCUAAAAAGAAAAAAUUGUAAUUGUUGUAUCAAAACUGUUCUGCUACUGCUUACUCAUCCGUUAAAAAUUGUCACCAUCAGGAAGGGUUUUGACGGUGCCCUGCUGCUAUGUCAGUGUAACACAUGCUUCAGGCACUUGCUUCCAUGCUGCAUUCCAGGUCACUGAUCAAACUCAGUAGGCAGGACACUGGGAGCUACAUGACAAAUCUUUGUGAUUCACAGCUGGGCCCACAACUACGUAUCAUAGUAAAUGAGUCAGUUAAACAUCACUAGUUUAGCAAGCGUGAAAAAAAUUACCAUGAUAUCAUUCAUGAUUCUUCACAGGAUUUUACAGCAUAUGAGUUAUUUGCUGAAUUUCGAUAACAUGUUUUGAUAAGGAACAUUAUCUUAAAUAAUUAGUUAUUGGUCCUUACACAAGUUAAAGCUGCAAUAAUACUAGGUAUACUAAGGCAAAAUCAGCUAUCUGCAUGGCUUUUGUGCUGGCCUAAUUUUUCUGGGAAACAAAGGUUCUCAUAACAGAUGCUAUGAAAGCCAUCUAUGUGAACCAUUUUUCUGAUUUUAGCUGUAGUUUGAAGGAAUAAUGUUAACAUGGUCAGUGUAACUUCAUCAGCAUAGCUUUUGUGCCCAACAAUAUAUUUUUGGUAUAUCUCUCACACCUCACCAGAAAAGGAUGGACAGAACUAUUCUCAAUUUCAAAUGAAAGAGCUGUCUCCAAGAAGUCAAGGAAGCAAUCUUUGUCUUUAAACUUCAGUUCAAUUGUGUCUUGAGAAUUAAACCUCUUUGACUGUAUGAUUAAACUAUCUUUAAAAAUAUAUAUUUGUUAAAGCAUGUGGCAUGAAAAUAUUUCUACCAUAGCAACUUUGGCAAAGACUGAAAUUAUAUAAACUUGUAACUUGCUUAAACAGGACUAUACCUGUGACUUUUGGGUGCCUUUUUAGUCUUCAGUGUCUCCGAACAUUUUUAACAUUAUAACCUUAACAGAACAGCAGUUAAACUUAAAUUCUGAACUACAGUGUUGAAAAAUCCAAGCCACGUUUUUGAACUACAGACGUUAAACAAUGAGCUAUGAAAUCCUUAAGUGCACUCAGGAAGUAGGUGUCGAUUAAGAGUUUUGUAAAUAAUCCUUAUUUAUAUUAGAUCAGUAGUGUAAAAAUCCACCCUGCUUGAUGUUUGUGUCCUGUAUGGCAUACUUAAAUUCUGCAGAAUCUAAGGUGCUUCUUCAAGUGGAGUGCCCAGAGGGAUACUACUUCAGGCACACAUGCACCCUGUGUCUUGACUGGAGAUUUUUGGUAGCAGUGCCCAUUCGGACUGCACAUUUGUCCUACGCUUCCUUGUGCCCCCUACAGAGGUGCUAUAGGGCUCUUUGGGUGAACCACCCUCAAUUCCUUUUCAACAGCCUUCAGCCAGACAAGGAAUUUCAUGUGUGCCUGUUUUCUCUUUAGAGUUAAAAUAGUAUAUAGGGUUAGUUCUUUUGUACUUUAUAGUUGUUGGAAUGGAACAGUUCCCGUUUUCUCCCCCCUUCCCCUCUUCCCCCCCAUAUUUAGGGGUCUAAAUUUGUUUCUUGGAUCUGGGAUGCCAGGCUCCCUGGGUGUUAAAAGGUGUCUCCAAUGUCAAGAAGCCAUUCCCGUCAGCAAUGGGCAUUCUCCACAGAUAUGUUGCUUGGGAGACUCACAUAUUCCCAGCAAGUGCAAGAUUUGCACUUCGUUUAAGGGAAGAUCCCCUAAAAACAGAGGAAUUAAGUAUGCACUAUUGAUGACGGAGGAAGCCUUGUGACCAGCUUUGGGUCUGGGUACAGAGAACCCCCUGUCCAAGAGACCCUCUUCUUCUGUUAGUGUCCCUUCUACAAUGAGAUCAGUCACUGAGAGCUUCCAAGGUGAAAGCAGUGUCAAGAUCUCCAAUGCUCUCCAUGGGUGAAGUACCUAUAAUGCUGCCAGUGGUACUUAGAGCUUCCCACUCAAAGAUGGAGGGGGAUAAGAGGACCAGAGCAGAGUUCCUCAAAGAAGAUUCAGUACAGGAGACCUCAGGCCCGAAGAGGAGUGCUAUUGAGGCUCCGAAUACUUUAGGUAUCAUGAAGCAAUCUAAGACUUCAUCUAAGUCCCAUAUCUUGGUGGUAAAGGUAACGAAGACCACUACUGCCACCAUCAAAGGAGCGGCCUCAUUGGAGUUUGUGGUACCCUUGGUACUGGCACCACUGCCUCAAACAGCAGCAUCAGGAGGAACCUUGAGGCCCAUGCCAAGUUUUGUUGUGCUCCCAGUACUGCAGGAGGUCCAGAAUCUUAAAGACCUCAUGAUACUGAGGGAGCCUCCUUGCAACCUCCAGACACCUCUCCAUACCAAGAUCUGCUGGAUCACUGACUGCUCAUGUUGUAGUGAGAUCCACCACUUCUCCAGCUCUUACCAUUCAGGAAGACGGGUUGUCAUCUUCUGUACAAUACAUAAAUGAGCAUUUGGACUCAGAGCUUUCAGUUCAAGGCUUUCCAGUUUACUCCAAGGAGACAUGCAUCUCCUCUGCAAAUGCAAGAAAGGCAAGAUUACAAGACCUCUGCCUCUUAAAACUUGGGAUGACCAACAAUUGCUACCUCUCUCCCAGUGCUUAUGGUCCUCUUCCUUUGCCUUAUUGUGAACCAUGGGCAGUGUAUUGCCAGCUGUUUUGAGGGUACCCAGUGGAAUUUCAUAAAGAACAUAAGACCUUGUUCCCUGGUACCAUCCAUUCCUCCUCUCCACUCUGAAUUGGCAGCAGCAAGGAGGAGGCAGUAAUGCCGCCACCGCCACCAUCCUUAGCUGAUGACUUUUGGCAGUUCCAGGACCUGAUGAGGCAAGUCGCAGACACACUUCAAAUUCCUCUGGAAGAAGUCCAGGAUUCCUAUCACAUCCUAUCCUAUCCUAUCCCUUGACGUAUUCAUAGAAUCAUAGGACUGGAAGGGAUCUUGAGAGGUCUUCUAGUCUAGUCCUCUGCACUCAAGGCCAGACUAAAUAUUAUCUAGAUCAUCCCUGACAGGUAUUUGUCUAAUCUGUUCUUUAUAUUUAUAUACCUCCAUUUCAGUGUGGGUGGCAUUGCUGAUUAAAGAUGCUCUUCUUGAGCUAGCUAAGACCAGCUGCCAAACUCCAACAGCAAUCCGUUACAUGCAAGCAUGCUGAUUAAAAAAACAAAACAACAAAAAACCCUACAUUCUGGCCAGGGAUUCAAAAACUUUGUUUUCGCAUCCGGCACCAAAUUCUCUGGUUGUGGACACAGUUAAUGAAAGGGGAAGCGAGCAUAUUGAAAAAGCUACCCCACAUAACAAGGACCAGAAGUAUCUGGGAUCUUUUCGGUCAUAAUAACUAGUCUUCGUGGAUAUUACGUUUCAGGAUAACUAAUCACCUGGUGCUGGUAUCAAAAUAGGACUACCUGAACUAUGAGAACUUUAAUGCUUUUAUUGACCCUUUAUCCCAGAAAUAUCAGUUUAGUGCCAUAAUAAAGGAGGGUCAGCUCUUGAUGAAGACUUCUUUGCAGGCUUCACUUAAUGUCGCCAAUGUUGCAAUAAAAGAGAAGUUAGCAAGUCUUGGUCAGUGCAAAGAUUCGAUCCUGCUCAAUUUUCCACCUUCUAUAGGCCGUCUGAACUACUGGCUAAUAAGUCAAAUUUUUU